GCAUAUGCCGUAAGGUGAAAGGAGUAAUCCGUCUGGAGAUGAGCCCGCGUCCGAUUAGCUAGUUGGUAGGGUAAAGGCCUACCAAGGCGACGAUCGGUAGCUGGUCUGAGAGGAUGAUCAGCCACAAUGGGACUGAGACACGGCCCAUACUCCUACGGGAGGCAGCAGUGGGGAAUUUUACGCAAUGGGGGAAACCCUGACGUAGCGACACCGCGUGAGCGAAGAAGCCCCUUGGGGUGUAAAGCUCUGUCGGCUGGAACGAAAAAAAUGACGGUACCAGCAAAGGAAGCAUCGGCUAACUACGUGCCAGCAGCCGCGGUAAGACGUAGGAUGCAAGCGUUGUCCGGAUUUAUUGGGCGUAAAGAGUUCGUAGGUGGUUUGUCAAGUCUGAUGUUAAAGAUCGGGGCUCAACCCUGGGACUGCAUUGGAUACUGGCAGACUUGAGUAUGGUAGAGGCUAGUGGAAUUCCCAGUGUAGCGGUGAAAUGCGUAGAUAUUGGGAAGAACACCGGUGGCGUAGGCGACUAGCCGGGCCAUAACUGACGCUGAGGAACGAAAGCCAGGGGAGCGAAUGGGAUUAGAUACCCCAGUAGUCCUGGCUGUAAACGAUGGAUACUAGGCGUAUCGGGUAUCGACCCCUGAUGUGCCGCAGCUAACGCGAUAAGUAUCCCGCCUGAGUAGUACGGCCGCAAGGUUGAAACUCAAAGGAAUUGACGGGGGCCCGCACAAGCGGUGGAACAUGUGGUUUAAUUCGAAGCA
rnacentral:rRNA from 1 species